rnacentral:tRNA from 1 species
GCCUUCGUGGUGAAAUGGUAUACACACAUGACUUAAAAUCAUGUGCCUAAUAAGCAUACCGGUUCAAGUCCGGUCGGAGGUA